CCCAAAAACUAACGCCUGAAAUGAGCUGAAAUACGCAAAAAUAAGAGAUAUAGACCGACGCCUAAAGCUAGGACAGCUGAAGAAGGCAGCGCCGUUUUCAAGGAACCCCCUCCCAGCGUUUCUAUAUCCUUCAACAGAAGCCCUCCGUCGUUCUUCAACCAAACACAAACGCCCCCUGAUCGUCUUCUUAAUCGGAAAAAAGCUCCGAGAGAUAUACACCUAAGGAAGCAGCCGUUACACCCAAACAACCACAUCAGUUCUGCUUCUUCUUCAACCAUAUACGCAGAUACAGUAGAGGGGAAAUGGAGGAGGGAACGGAGAAGGGAAACGAAGGAAACCGGACAUAGGGUGACGGAAAGUGAACGAAAUCGAGGGGAAGGGUUUGGUUUCGAUUCUGACUUGUCCUUUCCGAUUUAGUAUCCUAAUUUAGAUAUAAAAAUCAGUUCUAUUAGAUUUCUCAAUCAAUAAUCCAAAAAUACUUUGGUCUUUUUCUGUGGAUUUCGAUUUCAAUGAUGGAGUCAGUUUGAAUUAUUUGAUUCGGAUUUCCAUUUGAAGUUCAAGUCUGCCGAUGAUAACGUUUCUGUUCUUCAUUUGAUUCUGAUUUUCGGUUCUUCGAGUAUGGGAAUGGAGUUAAAUCGAGGUUGAUUCGAGUUCGUCGACGGUGAAGUUCUCUGUGCCCGGUCCGGCUUGUUCGAGCUCUCUCGUCGAGCUUGUAUCUUUGUAUUCAUCUCCAUGUAUAUAAAAGGAAAAAAUGGUAUUGGGCUUCAUAGAAAGAACGGACCAGAAGAACCUCAGCACAUCAUUCACAUGAUCAUUGGAGAAACUGACGUCCCAUAGAGACCCAUGUUCAAAUGGGCCAAAGUGUCCAUCGAAACGGAAAGGCAAACUCGAAGAUAUAUAACCGAAGACGCCCUUAUAUUUAGAGAAGAAGACAUCGAGGCCUUGUCCCAACCACAUGAUGAUGCACUGGUAAUUUCUUUUCUUUUGAAUAACGUUCAAGUUAAAUGUAUGCUCGUGGAUCCAGGUAGCUCGGCCAACGUAAUUAGGUUGAAGGUGGUGGAUCAGCUCGGACUGUUCGACCAGAUCAUACCCACCUCUCGAAUCCUCAAUGGAUUCAACAUGGCAAGCGAGACAAUGAAGGGAGAAAUCAUCCUCGUAGUCACCGUGUCCGGUACAGUUCAAGACACCAAGUUUCAUGACAUCGAAGGUAACAUGAGGUACAAUGCCUUACUUGGAAGACCGUGGAUACACAACAUGAGGGCGGUACUAUCAACUCUUCACCAGAUGAUGAAGUUCCCAACAAAAGAUGGUAUAAAACGGUGUACGGAGAACAACGUACAACAAAGGAGAGGUUCGUGGUAAAUGACGUGGCACCAACAUCGACUCUCCCCGUCUAGGAUGAGUUAGGAAAUAGGCUGACCCCCGAGGAAUAGGUGGUCUGUGAGCAUUCGAAUGAAGAUGAUGAAGAAGACUUCCUCACUCCUCGGACCUUCAUUGCCCUCUAGGAGUCGGAUGCAACAAAAUCAACGGUCAAAUAACUCGAACAUGUCGUCUUGAUCAAGCAUCUUCCAGAACGAAAGGUAUACCUGUGAACAGGAUUAACCCCCGAACUCAGAAAAAAACUCAUCCAAUUUCUUAUUAACAACGUUGAUUGCUUUGCUUGGUCCCAUUUAGACAUGACAGGGAUCCCGCCGGAAAUAACCACCCAUCAACUAAGUGUCGAUCCUAGGUUCAAACUAGUAAAGCAAAAAAGGAGGCCUCAAUCCGAGGUAAAACAUGUGUUCAU